rnacentral:rRNA from 1 species
GUGCCAGCAGCCGCGGUAAGACAGAGGCCUCGAGCGUUAGGCGGAAUCACUGGGCUUAAAGCGUGUGUAGGCGGAUCGUUAAGUACCUUGUGAAAUCCCACGGCUCAACCGUGGAACGGCUGGGUAUACUGGCGGUCUUGAGCAGCCUAGGGGCGACCGGAACAAACGGUGGAGCGGUGAAAUGCGUAGAUAUCGUUUGGAACGCCGAUGGUGAAAACAGGUCGCUGGGGGCUUGCUGACGCUGAGACACGAAAGCCAGGGGAGCAAACGGGAUUAGAUACCCGCGUAGUCC